GCGAGAGUGGCGGAAUUGGUAGACGCGCUGGUCUUAGGAACCAGUAUCUAAUGAUGUGUGGGUUCGAGUCCCUCCUCUCGCACCA
rnacentral:tRNA from 2 species